ACAGCAGUCGCCGCGGUAAUACCGAGGGUGCGAGCGUUAAUCGGAUUUACUGGGCGUAAAGCGUGCGUAGGCGGCUUCUUAAGUCGGAUGUGAAAUCCCUGAGCUUAACUUAGGAAUUGCAUUCGAUACUGGGAAGCUAGAGUAUGGGAGAGGAUGGUAGAAUUCCAGGUGUAGCGGUGAAAUGCGUAGAGAUCUGGAGGAAUACCGAUGGCGAAGGCAGCCAUCUGGCCUAAUACUGACGCUGAGGUACGAAAGCAUGGGGAGCAAACAGGAUUAGAUACCCCGGUAGUCCCUGUCUCUUAUAC
rnacentral:rRNA from 1 species